GAUUACCCCCUUGACACACUUCCCCCUUUCUGCCACUUUACAGCUGCGAAUGGGCUUGGCUGCAGACCUUCCUCGGGGCAGAGGUUAGUCUGAAAAGCCUCGACAGAGCCCUCCCGUUCACCCCUGUAGUUCAUCUUCCCAACUGAAAUGAAGCUGGUGCAGUCAGGUGUUGCUCUGUUUGGGCUGUGCUGCUGAAAAUCUGAAGAGAAUGUCACAGCUGUUCAGUUCUGCUUGCACAGAAGACAUUGGGCUCCCAGCCAUGUGGGCAUAAUAGCAAGGCUACGUGCCACCUGCAAAAGGCACCUGAUCAUUAAUUUAAGGCCCUGGGGAUUGCCUGAGUUGCCACAGAAUUCUGCUUAAGGGCAGUUGAAGCCGACUAGUGACUCUGAGGACAAAAGAAGGCUUACACUGUGAGGGAAGGUUUCACAACCAACACAUGUGGUGGAAAAUUCUCCUGAGAGUUCUGAAGCGUAAGGUAGGGCAAAAUGUUAUUUAAUACAAGCAUGCCUGUUUCUUCCAAUGUCAUUCCCUGGCCACAAUGUGAGUUCAAAGGGAACGUCUCAGUUACAGUUCGUAUGGCAGAUUGUUCUCAGAUUAGGUGAUGUAGCUAUGUUCACAUGAAAUGGUUGGAGACUCAUGGACAAUUUACCAGGAUGUCUUUAUGAAUCCUGAGGGGAUCUGGAAACAAUUGUUUCAUCAUUAAACUCACAGUUUGUCUGCAUAUGCUCCAUCUGGGGCUAGUCAGGAGCUUAAAAGCCCUUCUGGAUGUAAUUGAAACUCUCAGGAAUUCACUACCCCCCCCCCCCCGAGCUGCCAUCCAGUGUUUUCAUGGGUGGAAUCAAUGAAUGGUGGCACAAGUUAACAUGGUAAGUUAAGCGCUGGUGUCUUAAAAUUACAUCCUGGAAGUUGAUUGCUUAGAACAAGCCCAACAUAAUUUAGCCCAGAAGAUGGAAAAGGAUAAAUAAGAUGACUGCCUUAUUGAACAGGCUAGAGAAAAGGCUUUAGGGGGAAACUAACUGAAUAAAAGUAUACUGAGAUCGUUAGGAAAUGAAACUUUGUAUAAAACAGAGUGUAAACAGAUUAAUAAUGAAUGCCUAUUCUUCAACAUUUCCCCCUCUCUCUGUUCAGUAGUUUUCUUAUUCUAGCCAUGCACAAAGAGUUCCAAAGGAUAACUCUGGUUGGAAAAUAGAAAAAUACCAGUGAAUAGCUGCAAUAUAAAAAGGUUCAGCCAACUCUACCUCUGUGUAGGACUGGUUGCUUAGUACUGAGAAACACUUUAGGUGAAUGUGGCCAAGAACUGAUAGCAUGUUAAUAAUAUCUAUCAGUUGCCAAUGUUGUGCCAUACCACAGCUUAGCCUUCCAAAGAAAAAGCAAGCAAGCAAGCAGUGAAGUUCUGUAAGUAUGUUUUUAAAACUAUUCACUGCAUAAGAUUAUAUUGUCCCAUCUGUCUCUGUCCCCAUUCUCAUUUUUCAAAUGCAUUUGGGCAGUGAUUUUCAUAUUUAACUUGACAUAUUUUGUGGGUAAUUAUCCUUUUUAAAAAAAGAAGCAUGGUUGCUCCCUUCCUUUGCUUACCUAUGUGCGGCUCAGACCUUGCCUCUGCAUGUAGGGGUGUUGCGGAGUUUGGUGUUGCCAAGUCACCUCUGAGAGGUCUCCACAUUUUCAUUGUGAUAUCACACCAGCAUGGCCACAUAGAACUCUAAUUGGUGGCCACUGAUGUAUGCAGUCUGUUGGGGAAGUGUCCUCAAUGCGCUCUUUCCAUGUUCUAAUCUUUCCUGUGUUAUGCAAAGUGCUCCUCCCUCUUUGUGCAAAGUGCCUUUCUCUAUAUUUUCAGCCACUGGGCUUUUCCCUUGUGUGCUCUAAGUGUCUGUGACAUGCAGCCAGUCUGAUAUAGCUCCAGGCUAUAUUACCCAGGGUUGGGUGGGUGUUCAUAUGCAGAAUUAUGUCAUAUCCUGUCCUCUGUUGCAUUGAUGUGCAGUAUGGGGGAUGAGUUGAAUGGAAGGUUUUUUUCUUCUUACAUCAGCUCUUUCAUAAAGUUCCACCAUCUUUGGGGACAAGUUUGAGAUCUGAAGGCACAGGAAUUGACAUAGGUUUAUGCCUACCCUAUCCUGACCAUCCAUGUCAACACCCUAUUUAAAAUUCUACAUUGGUAGAGUUGUGUUAAUGUAGCACAGAACUGCACUGCACUGGCAUAUCUUUGCAGUUGUGCUGGCAUAUCUCAUGUGGCGCCAACAUUCCUCAUGUUCCACACAUGCAUUGUGGGGCUUCUGCAACUUCCCAUAGCCCCUUUAGCUGGUGUGCCUUAAGAUGGUGAUAAUGAAGAAGGAUUUAUUAGUCAUUCAGUAUCAAAUGGUCUCCAGGCAACUUGCAACUGAUUUAAAAACAUAAAAAUAUUUAAAGCAAGAACCAUUAUUGAUGAACUUUAUAAUGUUACAAAUCCAUACCAACCUUCAGUCCCCCACUGCAAUAUUAUUAGCAGUUCAAAACAUCAUCUAAAUAAAAAGAAGAGGCCAGCCCAUAUUAUACCAAAAGAAACCACAGGAAUAAGCCUAUCAUGCAGAAUUGCACCUUUUGUGUCAUAGUAACUGUUGAAAUCAAUACGUAUAUGAGCUCCUUGGAUACAUUCAGAUUCAGGGCAGGGAAACCCGUGGCUCUUCAAUUGUUGCUGGAGCUGAUGGGAGAUGGCUCCAGCAGUAUCUGGAGGGUCACAGCUUCCUCACCCUAAUGGGUAAAUUGAGCUAUUUCUUUUCUUACAGUGUGGAUGGCUUGCAAAGGUGGGUAAAAUGAAUUCAAACUCAUCCAGUUGUUGCCCCAAAUGUAUUGCAAACUGCUCACCAGUUUGUCAAAGGGAUCUUGGGAAUGGCAAGUUGCAGAGGGUAUUUGGGAGUCUUUUAUGAGACCAGAGACUGCUCUGGGUGAUCAGAAUCACUUUAGGAUGAUUUAAAACACUAAAAACCUAACAAAACAGUAUUUGAGGCUUUUGUGAUACUGUAUUCUACCUUCACUGUUGAAGGCAGUAUACCACAAGUGGAGAGAGUUUGUUGAGCUCAGGUUCUGCUUCUGGGUUUCCCAUAAGCAUCUGGUUGUCCACUUGGAGACAAGUGGGCAGUAGACAGAUCUAGCAGGGCUCCUCUUUUUUCCUAAGGUAACCACCAUCGCCUCAUUACCUUUCUUUGCAACCAGGUUGAUAUUAGCUCAGAAGAAAAGGUGGCCAUGGGAUUUAACUGAUUUCUUACCUUUUGGAGCUGGUCAAAUUAUGGGAACGUAGCCCAACAGGAGACAGUUGUUGGUUCUCAAAGGCUUUCCUCUCAGUAGCAGGUACAUUUAUAAUUCAAUUGACUCUUUUUGGUACGCCUUCUUCUAAUUUUGUUUUCCAGAGGAAAGAUUAACUGUGGAAGUGAGAAUUUGCCCCUUAUAGGUUAAAAUAAUGAUUAUACUUGACAAGAAAAUAACUUGCUGCAUGCAGCCUUGUUAUUUUGUAAAUUUAUUUAAUGGGCUUCAUUUUUCCUACCUGGCACAUUUGCCUGUUGAGGAUAUACCCAAGUUUAAGUGCAUUUUUAAUGGUUUAAGCAGUUUCUGAUUCCUUACAUAAACAUGAUAGAAUGCACCUCUUUUCGUCUGAUUUCUGGAAAACAUGCAUUAAGGGAGGAAAAAACAGCAUUAGCAACAAUAAUGGGAAAAUAGUGCACCUGUGAAGAGAGUCUUCCCACUUCUCAAGUGCCUUUGGCCUUCAUUGUUGUUAAUAAAGGGACCCCUGAUCAUUGACCGACUCUGGGGUUGCGGCGCUCAUCUCGCGUUAUUGGCUGAGGGAGCUGGCGUACAGCUUCCAGGUCAUGUGGCCAGCAUGACAAAGCCGCUUCUGGCGAACCAGAGGAGCACACGGAAACAGGGCCGUCUUAAGCAUAUCUGGCGCCCUGGUGCAAAGAUCCCUCCGGCAC